rnacentral:rRNA from 1 species
GCUACCAUGCAGUCGAGCGCACCUUCGGGUGAGCGGCGGACGGGUUAGUAACGCGUGGGAACGUACCCUUCUCUAAGGAAUAGCCACUGGAAACGGUGAGUAAUACCUUAUACGCCCUUCGGGGGAAAGAUUUAUCGGAGAAGGAUCGGCCCGCGUUAGAUUAGAUAGUUGGUGGGGUAAUGGCCUACCAAGUCUACGAUCUGUAGCUGGUUUUAGAGGAUGAUCAGCAACACUGGGACUGAGACACGGCCCAGACUCCUACGGGAGGCAGCAGUGGGGAAUCUUAGACAAUGGACGAAAGUCUGAUGCAGCAAUGCCGCGUGUGUGAAGAAGGCCUUCGGGUUGUAAAGCACUUUCAGAUGUGAGGAAAAGCAGUCUAUUAAUACUAGACUGCCGUGACGUUAACAUCAGAAGAAGGACCGGUUAACUCCGUGCCAGCAGCCGCGGUAAUACGGAGGGUCCAAGCGUUAGUCGGAAUUACUGGGCGUAAAGCGCGCGUAGGCGGAUAAUUAAGUCAGAUGUGAAAUCCCUGGGCUCAACCUAGGAACUGCAUUUGAUACUGGUUAUCUAGAGUAUGGUAGAGGUGAGUGGAAUUUCAGGUGUAGCGGUGAAAUGCGUAGAGAUCUGAAGGAACAUCAGUGGCGAAGGCGACUCACUGGGCCAUUACUGACGCUGAGGUGCGAAAGCGUGGGUAGCAAACAGGAUUAGAUACCCUGGUAGUCCACGCCCUAAACGAUGUCAACUUGGUGUGUGAAGAGUCUAACUCUUGCGUAUCGAAGCGCUACCAUGCGCUACCAUGCGCUACCAUGCGCUACCAUGCGCUACCAUGCUCA